UCGAUUAGAAAGGAUGGAAAAAUGUUGAAUAAUUAAAUUGGUUUCCUUCAAAGACAUAAAAGGAAAAAAAGAAAGAAAAUUGUGAUUGUGAAUUUCUUUUUUAUAAAGUAACUUUUUUAAUAUACAAGAAAGGAUAGAAAAAAAUCACUAAUUAAAUUUCUUUAAUUCAAACAAAAAAAAAAAAGUAAAAAAAAAUCUGAUUUGGAAAAUAGUGAAGUGAAGUCGGGCCUCCCUCAAACCCUAACCAAAUUUCCUCAUUUCUCAACUAUCACCAUUCACCCGCCUACCACCUCCCUCAAACCCUCACUCUCACUCUAAAACCAGCGCCUCCCCCAACCACCGCUCAACACCGCCGAAAACAUCAGCGGCUGGCCGUCUGCUUCACGCAAGUCCACGAAAACAUCAGCGGCUGGCCGAAAAUAGUAACGAGUCAUCAUCUCCACGAAGUCCGGCAAGCAGGGAUGGAAGAAGUUUCAUCUAGUCCUAUUGAAGGAUCUAGUAAUCCAUCUUCUAAAGAACAAGAACCAACCCUUGGUACACAAACUAAAACAACUAAGAAUGGUAAUUCUAAAACUUCAAAUGUGGUCAUUGAUGACCAAGAGGUUGAACUUGUGGGUGUUCAUGGUAGAAAGCUAACUUCGAUGGUAUGGAAGCAUUUUGAGCAACUAAUAGUGGAUGAUGAAAUAAAGGCAAAAUGAUGAAAUAAAGGCAAAAUUGUUGUUGAUGAAAGUAAGUUUAAUCUUUUGGCUUGGUGGAAUGCACAAUCACAUGCGUUUCCCACUCUCUCUAAGAUUGCUAGAGAUAUUCUUGCGGUUCCUAUAUCUACCGUUCUUCCGAGAGUGCAUUUAGCACAAGUGGUAGGAUCAUUGGGCCUCAUCAAAGUAGACUUCUCCCGGAAACUAUUGAAGCUUUGAUGUGUCUUCAAAGUUGGAGGCGUUUACAUUACAAAGAUGUUACCAAGGGUAGUUUUGAAUGUGCACCUAUCUAUGAUGAUGAAGAUGUAGAAGCUAUGGAAGAAUGAAAAAGGUUUGUGUUGGCCAUGGUUGAUUAAAGUUGAGGAUUGAAGACUUGGAUGAAGAUGUUUACUUUCCAUGGAAAGUUGAAGAAAAAUUAAUGUAAUUAAUUGAUUAGUUUUCAUGGGAUGAAGAUUGUUAUUGUUGUAUGAACCGUAGGUUGAUUUGGAAGAAAUUGAGAACUUUAUGUUGAAUGGACCUUUCUUUUUAAUCAUGUAUUUGUCUAUUUGAUUUUAUAUGCUUAGUUAAACUUAAAUUAUUGUCAUAUGAAGAUAUGAUUGUUACUUGUUAGUAAUGAUUACAUUUUUUGUA